rnacentral:rRNA from 1 species
GGCGAACGCUGGCGGCGUGCUUAACACAUGCAAGUCGAACGGAAAGGCCCUGCUUGCAGGGUACUCGAGUGGCGAACGGGUGAGUAACACGUGGGUGAUCUGCCCUGCACUUCGGGAUAAGCCUGGGAAACUGGGUCUAAUACCGGAUAGGGGCCAUUUUUAGUGUGAUGGUUGGAAAGUUUUUUCGGUGUAGGAUGAGCUCGCGGCCUAUCAGCUUGUUGGUGGGGUAAUGGCCUACCAAGGCGGCGACGGGUAGCCGGCCUGAGAGGGUGGACGGCCACAUUGGGACUGAGAUACGGCCCAGACUCCUACGGGAGGCAGCAGUGGGGAAUAUUGCACAAUGGGCGCAAGCCUGAUGCAGCGACGCCGCGUGGGGGAUGACGGCCUUCGGGUUGUAAACUCCUUUCGCUAGGGACGAAGCUUUUUGUGACGGUACCUAGAUAAGAAGCACCGGCUAACUACGUG